UACGAAGGGUGCAAACGUUGCUCGGAAUUAUUGGGCGUAAAGCGCACGUAGGCGGCUUUGUAAGUCGGAUGUGAAAUCCCUCGGCUUAACCAAGGAAGUGCAUCCGAAACUACAGAGCUUGAGUACUUAAGAGGAUCGCGGAAUUCCCGGUGUAGAGGUGAAAUUCGUAGAUAUCGGGAGGAACACCAGUGGCGAAGGCGGCGAUCUGGGAAGAUACUGACGCUGAGGUGCGAAAGCCAGGGGAGCAAACGGG
rnacentral:rRNA from 1 species